rnacentral:rRNA from 1 species
UGCAAGUCGAACGGCAGCGCGGGGGCAACCGUGGCGGCGAGUGGCGAACGGGUGAGUAAUAUAUCGGAACGUACCCAAGAGUGGGGGAUAACGUAGCGAAAGUUACGCUAAUACCGCAUACGAUCUAAGGAUGAAAGCAGGGGAUCGCAAGACCUUGUGCUCCUGGAGCGGCCGAUAUCUGAUUAGCUAGUUGGUGGGGUAAAGGCCCACCAAGGCAACGAUCAGUAGCUGGUCUGAGAGGACGACCAGCCACACUGGAACUGAGACACGGUCCAGACUCCUACGGGAGGCAGCAGUGGGGAAUUUUGGACAAUGGGGGCAACCCUGAUCCAGCAAUGCCGCGUGAGUGAAGAAGGCCUUCGGGUUGUAAAGCUCUUUUGUCAGGGAAGAAAAGGCUGUGGCUAAUAUCCACAGCUGCUGACGGUACCUGAAGAAUAAGCACCGGCUAACUACGUGCCAGCAGCCGCGGUAAUACGUAGGGUGCAAGCGUUAAUCGGAAUUACUGGGCGUAAAGCGUGCGCAGGCGGUUUCGUAAGUCUGUCGUGAAAUCCCCGGGCUUAACCUGGGAAUGGCGAUGGAGACUGCGAAGCUAGAGUUUGGCAGAGGGGGGUAGAAUUCCACGUGUAGCAGUGAAAUGCGUAGAGAUGUGGAGGAACACCGAUGGCGAAGGCAGCCCCCUGGGUCAAAACUGACGCUCAUGCACGAAAGCGUGGGGAGCAAACAGGAUUAGAUACCCUGGUAGUCCACGCCCUAAACGAUGUCUACUAGUUGUUGGGUCUUAAUUGACUUAGUAACGCAGCUAACGCGUGAAGUAGACCGCCUGGGGAGUACGGUCGCAAGAUUAAAACUCAAAGGAAUUGACGGGGACCCGCACAAGCGGUGGAUGAUGUGGAUUAAUUCGAUGCAACGCGAAAAACCUUACCUACCCUUGACAUGGCAGGNAUCCCGGAGAGAUUUGGGAGUGCUCGAAAGAGAACCUGCACACAGGUGCUGCAUGGCUGUCGUCAGCUCGUGUCGUGAGAUGUUGGGUUAAGUCCCGCAACGAGCGCAACCCUUGUCAUUAGUUGCUACGCAAGAGCACUCUAAUGAGACUGCCGGUGACAAACCGGAGGAAGGUGGGGAUGACGUCAAGUCCUCAUGGCCCUUAUGGGUAGGGCUUCACACGUCAUACAAUGGUACAUACAGAGGGCCGCCAACCC